rnacentral:rRNA from 1 species
GACGAACGCUGGCGGCGUGCUUAACACAUGCAAGUCGAACGGAAAGGCCCUGCUUUUGUGGGGUGCUCGAGUGGCGAACGGGUGAGUAACACGUGAGUAACCUGCCCUUGACUUUGGGAUAACUUCAGGAAACUGGGGCUAAUACCGGAUAGGAGCUCCUGCUGCAUGGUGGGGGUUGGAAAGUUUCGGCGGUUGGGGAUGGACUCGCGGCUUAUCAGCUUGUUGGUGGGGUAGUGGCUUACCAAGGCUUUGACGGGUAGCCGGCCUGAGAGGGUGACCGGCCACAUUGGGACUGAGAUACGGCCCAGACUCCUACGGGAGGCAGCAGUGGGGAAUAUUGCACAAUGGGCGGAAGCCUGAUGCAGCAACGCCGCGUGCGGGAUGACGGCCUUCGGGUUGUAAACCGAUUUCGCCUGUGACGAAGCGUGAGUGACGGUAAUGGGUAAAGAAACACCGGCUAACUACGU